rnacentral:miRNA from 1 species
AUGCGGAUGGUUAAGGAAUGGG